UAAGUAAGCUUUGAUCCAGAGAUUUCCGAAUGGGGAAACCCAGCAUGAGUUAUGUCAUGUUAUCGAUAUGUGAAUACAUAGCAUAUCAGAAGGCACACCCGGAGAACUGAAACAUCUUAGUACCCGGAGGAAGAGAAAGAAAAUUCGAUUCCCUUAGUAGCGGCGAGCGAAACGGGAAGAGCCCAAACCAACAAGCUUGCUUGUUGGGGUUGUAGGACACUCUAUACGGAGUUACAAAGGACGACAUUAGACGAAUCAUCUGGAAAGAUGAAUCAAAGAAGGUAAUAAUCCUGUAGUCGAAAAUGUUGUCUCUCUUGAGUGGAUCCUGAGUACGACGGAGCACGUGAAAUUCCGUCGGAAUCUGGGAGGACCAUCUCCUAAGGCUAAAUACUCUCUAGUGACCGAUAGUGAACCAGUACCGUGAGGGAAAGGUGAAAAGCACCCCGGAAGGGGAGUGAAAUAGAACCUGAAACCGUGUGCUUACAAGUAGUCAGAGCCCGUUAAUGGGUGAUGGCGUGCCUUUUGUAGAAUGAACCGGCGAGUUACGAUUUGAUGCAAGGUUAAG
rnacentral:rRNA from 1 species